rnacentral:precursor_RNA from 15 species
UGAGCAUAACUAACAAUCCUCCACCUGCUUUAUUUGUACAAGCCGCUUUUUUUGUGUAGUCUAUCAAAUGAAGCGACUUGUGCAAAUGAAGUUGGUAGGGGUGGAACGGCACACUUAGAA